UUCGAGAUACAAGCCGGCUCUAUUUCCCGUUAAAAAUAAUCUUAACCCUUAAAGAGAAAGGACUUAAUGGAGAUGCAAGGGAUCAAACCCUGUACCUCUCGCAUGCAACGCUAGCGCUCUACCAUUUGAGCUACAUCCCCGAUGGUAAAGACGACCACCAAGGUCCUCAUUAGGCGAUUUACAAAGCUUCUUAUUGAGUUGUAAUCCUAUCCACGAACCACGGUUGCAGUCAGCGGAGAAUUUUGGCAGUUGCUACAAGCAGAACGGAGUGAAUCUCUCGCUAUCACAAUUAAAAUGUCCUUUCCUCUCUUCAACCUCACUCCAUUAUUGUGUGAGGCGUUUAACGGGAAGUAGCUUUAGCACAAUUUUGUGUAUUGUGUAUUUUCUUCCAAUGUUUAUCGAAAGCUACUUUUGUCAAGUGAAAUCUACUGCAUGUGAUCUAACGUUGGUGUGGUUUUGUUAUUGAAAAUUGUUCUCAGAGAUUCCCCUCAAUCUAAUAAUUGUUUACCUCAAUUAUAUGCUUGAACUUCUUCAGGACCAGCUUAUUGGCAUACAGCCCCCUGGCCAUGGGCAUACUUUCUGGGAAGUAUUUUGCACCUAAUGAAGGUCCAGCAAAUGCCCGGUUAAAUCUUUUCAAAGGUUGAUCAUAUAAUUUGUUUUUCUUUAUUAUUUAUGAUAUAAAAGUCAUCUGUAGACUACAAACAAUCCUUCCCAGGCUCCCACCCUUCUCUCUCUCUCCAUUUCUUCUCUUUUAGAGUAUUUCUUAAUUCUCCUUUUCAGGAAGAUAUCCAGAAGGGGAAUCAAGAUACAACCUAUCAAAUAAUAUGAUAAAAGCAGCUACUAUGCUCCAUAUAUCUGCAGGAAUACCUUGUUAUUGCGAAAAACCACGGUCUUCAUCCUGUCUUUCUUGCAAUUGCUUUUGUUGCAAGCACCAUAUUUGGAGCUACCAGCUCAUGGCAGCUCCAAGAGACUCUUAACGGUUGCAAGAUCCAGCUGACACCAGAAAUAAUUGAAGAUAUCAACAAGGUUCAUGCAAGGUUCCCUAAUCCAUGUCCCUGAUAAAUUUUUGUGCCUUUCUAUAAAGUAUCUGCUCGGCAUUCUGGUCUUUAGUAUGCAUAGCAUUUUUUCAUCUAACCACGAAACCAUGAAAGGAUUCCUCCCAUGACGCACAUUUUUCCUUUAAUUGGACAAGGAUGCACAUGCACCUAUUGAUGCUGUAUUAUAUGAUGAACAUAAACAGCUUCCAGCAUGUAGCUGCAUCUUUUUGAAUUACUGUUGUGUGGAGUGUUGUAUGUACUUGGGAUCGAACUUGAUUCAGAUUUAGCGGUUACCAGUGAAAUUGACAAAA